rnacentral:rRNA from 1 species
CGGGAAGCGAGUGGAUCCCUUCGGGGUGAAGCUCGUGGAACGAGCGGCGGACGGGUGAGUAACACGUGGGCAACCUGCCUGUAAGAUCGGAAUAACCCCGGGAAACCGGGGCUAAUGCCGGGUAAUACUUUUCUUCGCAUGAAGAUAAGUUGAAAGAUGGCUUCUCGCUAUCACUUACAGAUGGGCCCGCGGCGCAUUAGCUAGUUGGUGAGGUAACGGCUCACCAAGGCAACGAUGCGUAGCCGACCUGAGAGGGUGAUCGGCCACACUGGGACUGAGACACGGCCCAGACUCCUACGGGAGGCAGCAGUAGGGAAUCUUCCGCAAUGGACGAAAGUCUGACGGAGCAACGCCGCGUGAACGAUGAAGGUCUUCGGAUCGUAAAGUUCUGUUGUCAGGGAAGAACAAGUACCGUGCGAAUAGAGCGGUACCUUGACGGUACCUGACGAGGAAGCCCCGGCUAACUACGUGCCAGCAGCCGCGGUAAUACGUAGGGGGCAAGCGUUGUCCGGAAUUAUUGGGCGUAAAGCGCGCGCAGGCGGUUCCUUAAGUCUGAUGUGAAAGCCCACGGCUCAACCGUGGAGGGUCAUUGGAAACUGGGGAACUUGAGGACAGAAGAGGAGAGUGGAAUUCCACGUGUAGCGGUGAAAUGCGUAGAUAUGUGGAGGAACACCAGUGGCGAA